rnacentral:lncRNA from 1 species
AUGGCUUCAGGAACUCUCAUUACCCAGAUAGCACCAGAAAUGCAGAAUCAGAACUCUAGAUUGUAUAUGUAUUUCUGCUACCUACUUUCUCAAUGGACAUACAGAAGCUACAUGGAGAUUUUAAAAAUUUGUGCUACAUUAUGUGAAUUUUCUAAUGUUAAGGUGUGGCAGAAUACUGCAUUCUCUCUUUCAACAUACUUGCAGCCCCUGGAAGAAUCUGUGGAGGAGCUCAGCAGAUCUCAGUUGUCUGCGUCUUGGUGCACAAUGAAUUCCCAAGGCACAGGGAUGGCAUUCCAUCACUAAUACUGUCUAUGAGAUCAUUUUAUUAAAUUUGAAAAGUUAUAAUUUCAACUUUGCCUUAUUAUUUGAAUAUAUCUUAAUUUAAAUUUAAAAAGCAGAAGUAAAAUGCAAUUCAACUGAACUUGUGUUUAAAAAAAUUUAGAAAGGGUAUGUAGACAUUUUGGCUUUGUUUUAAUGAGAAAUUUGCCCAAGUUAAUUUGUUCCCAUGGUUUCUGUUUUGCUGAAACAGCAGAGUUGUCUAACCCCUUCCUAGCCUAAUCAGCUCUUCUUAAUAAACUUCUUUCUGAAUCUCCCUGAUAUUGAUAG